ACUAAUUUGGCAGAGAAGUGUGUUAGAUUUAGAAUCUAUUUAUGUGAAUAUAUCACAAUUAGUACC
rnacentral:tRNA from 1 species